UACGUAGGGGGCUAGCGUUGUCCGGAAUCAUUGGGCGUAAAGCGCGUGUAGGCGGUUCGGUAAGUCCGCUGUGAAAGUCGGGGGCUCAACCCUCGAAUGCCGGUGGAUACUGUCGGGCUAGAGUGCGGAAGAGGCGAGUGGAAUUCCUGGUGUAGCGGUGAAAUGCGCAGAUAUCAGGAGGAACACCAAUUGCGAAGGCAGCUCGCUGGGACGCUACUGACGCUGAGACGCGAAAGCGUGAGGAGCAAACAGG
rnacentral:rRNA from 1 species